CCAAGUCCCACUGCGGUUCUGCCCACUAGCUUGGGGAAAGAAAUGACUGCAUGCCAAUCUGUGAGAAUGGUGAGAAAAACAAACAAACAAACAAACAUCUCGUGAGCAGCAUUCAGAAACGUGAGGUCAGAGGAGAAUGACAGGGAGGGUGCAACUGUGAUGAGCGGAAAAGAAUCUCAGAGUGCACAACACAACAAACUUUGAGGCAGAUGGGCUACAACAGCAGAAGCCCACAUUGGGUUCUGUCUCAGAACAGACUGUCAAUGUGGGAUUCUGUCUUCAGCUGUCAGCAUCACUUUCUUUCAAUGACUGCGUGUGGCAGAGGAGAGAACGGGAAGUAGCGAAUGCAGGUAAUUUGAGUGAAACUGAACAGACACAUCAGUCUCAAGAAAAACAUCCCGUGGGCAGCCAGUCUGUGGGUGGAAACACCUUGUCGAUGAAAGAGGUCAGAGGAGAAUGGCCAGACUGCUUUGAGAUAACAGGAAAGCUACAGUAACUCAAAUAACCUCUCUUUACGACCAUGACGAGCAGAAAAGCAUCUCAGAACGCACUACACGUCAAACCUUCAGGCGAACCAAGUUAACAUUGGAUUCCACUCCUGUCACCCAAGAACAGGAAUCUGGGGCUACAGUGGGCACAGGGUCAUCAGAAACACACAGCUGAAGGUUGGAAAAAACAUCGCCUGGUCUGACGAAUUAUGAUUUAUGCUUUGACACGCAGAUUGUAGGGUCAAAAUUACAGCAUUACUCCAUGGACCCAACCUGCCAUGUGUCAAUAGUUGGUAUUGGUAGUGGUGGUGGCGGUGGUGGUGUGAGGAUUAUUUUUGUCCAUAUAUUGGGCCCCUUAAUACCAUCGAGCAUAUCAGAAUAGCAUUAAUGAGUCUAUUCUAAAAGCACUGUGGGUCCUUCUCAGUUUAGUAUGGUGUUCCUAAAAAAGCAAAGAGUUUAUAUGUAAUAGUGGUGGUAGCGCUCUAAAUGUUAAGCCUAGUACACAAAGUUUUCA
ensembl:lncRNA